UACAGAGGUGGCAAGCGUUGUUCGGAAUUACUGGGCGUAAAGGGCGCGUAGGCGGCCAUCUAAGUCAGACGUGAAAUCCCCCGGCUUAACCUGGGAACUGCGUCUGAUACUGGACGGCUUGAGUAUGGGAGAGGGAUGUAGAAUUCCAGGUGUAGCGGUGAAAUGCGUAGAUAUAGGAAGGAACACCAGUGGCGAAGUCGACCACCUGGACUGAUACUGACACUGAGGUGCGAAAGCGUGGGGAGCAAACAGG
rnacentral:rRNA from 1 species